GACGAACGCUGGCGGCGUGCCUAACACAUGCAAGUCAACUUGACUGAAGGAGCAAUCUGACAGUAGAGUGGCGCAAGGGUGCGUAACGCGUAAGUAACUUGCCCCAAGGUAAGGAAUAACGUCGAGAAAUCGGCGCUAAUACCUCAUAAUGCAGCGGAUCCGCAUGGAUAUGUUGUUAAAGGUUACCGCCUUGGGAUAGGCUUGCGUCUGAUUAGCUAGUUGGUGUGGUAACGGCACACCAAGGCUACGAUCAGUAACUGGUCUGAGAGGAUGAUCAGUCACACUGGAACUGAGACACGGUCCAGACUCCUACGGGAGGCAGCAGUGAGGAAUAUUGGGCAAUGCUCGAAAGAGUGACCCAGCAACGCCGCGUGGAGGAUGAAGGUAUUCUAUAUCGUAAACUCCUGUGAGAGCAGACGAAAGAACAGAUUAUUAAAUCUGGAUGACUGUAUGCUCAGAGGAAGCCCGGCUAACUACG
rnacentral:rRNA from 1 species